AGAGAAGUUUCUGGAAAGAUGGAGCCAAAGGGACGCUGGGGGGUGGGGAGCGCCAGGAAGCAAGCGUUUGAAAGAAAGCGAAAAAACCCAAGCGCACCGCGACACCUCCAACCUUCAAGCCACGGCCCAAGCAGAGCCCAAGGCCACUGAGACCCUCACGCCAGAGAAAAAGCACAGGGACCGCGGCAGCCGCUCCUCCCUCUGCCACUGCUCAGCCCCCGAGACUCCCCAGCACGGGGAGAGGGCAGGGGGUAGCCAUGAGAAACCUAGAGCGCUCACUGGACUUUUGCGAGGUGGAAGGAAAGCCGAAACCCGCCCUUUGGAGCCGCCUGUGCGCACGGGCCCCGUCGAGUGGGCUCAGUACGUUAGGACUCAGCGUGGCCGCCAAAGCAUUGGUUGGGGGCGUCUUUCACUAAUUUUUCCUAGGUUUUCUCUUCUAUCGGGCUCUGUGGUCCUUUCACCACCCAUCUUCACUUUGGUGGCCUGACGCUAACGCUGCGAGUUGGGGAAACCGUAGUAACCCCGGGCCUGAGGGGCGUCCCGGGCGGCGGUGCUCCGUUUCUUCCAGCGGUUGCCCCUUUAAGAAAAAGCCCCCCGGAGAGGGGCCCGUGUGGCUGAGUAAAGGUGGCGUGCGCCCGCACAAAGGCGCCGCGUUGUUGGCGGGCUCCGGACCCUGUUGCCCCUGGGCGGGGCGGCGUGGGAAGACCGGGGCGCCUGGGCGGGGAGAACGACGUUGGCGCUAGCGGGGCAGGGCAGGGGGAGGGAGUCACGGGAUUUAGCAGGUGCUUCUCCGCGACCGAGCGACUGCCAUUUUGUGGUGCGGCCGCCGCCAUUUCGCGCGGCCGAGGGGCGGGGUGUGGGCGGAGCGGCGGGCGCGCCCGGGCUGUCCCUCGGGGCGGCGGGCUAACGCGGCCGCUUUGUUCUUCGCUUCUCGGCUCGAGGCCCCAGUCUCGACCGCCGACCGCCUCGGAACCGGGCUGCAUCCGAGCUGCCACGCGGCGUGUGAACCUUGAAGCGCGGCCGGGGAAUCCGCAAGGCGCCGACUCUCUUCCUCCUUGCAAGCCCUUCGAAAGUGAGAUUUCUCACCCCACCCUUGCAGGGUGGAGAGAACACGUUUCAAAAAGGGGAUGCCUAGAACUCAGCCGUGGGAAGUGCCUGUCUAAAGCCUUGUGCUGGUGCCAGUAGCAAACCCGUGCGCGUGCUCGGCUUUGAGCGAUCAUGGAGCUCUGCAAAUAGCUCAACUGCAGAGCGUGCCCCUUAGAGCUCCUGUGCUGCUGGGAGGCCUCAUAAAGGUGCCAAAACCAGGUGUCCCCAGCGGUUGGCCUCUUUAAAAAGAAAAAAAAAAAAAGGCGGAGUGGGAUGUCCUUGACGUGCUGAAAGACGGAGUAGAAUGAGACGUUGGUUUUCAUUGGCUGGCCAUUAAGCACGCACUGCGCAACUGUUUUCCAGAUACGGGUUUAUAGCCCAUUAUUUAUAUCGGAGCCAUAAACUUGAACAAUAGAUUGGAAUAUCUUAUUUUUGCCUGUUGAGAAUAUCUCCCAUUUAACUUCUUUUGAAAGUUCAGAUGAGUAUAUAAAUAAUACAUUGACCCAGUAGAAUCUAUUGUGUGCGUUCCAGCGUCAUUUCAAAGAGCUAUUGUUUUUCUGAUUUCAAAAGAAAUAUUUAAAUGUGAGUCUUUGUGUUUUAAUGUUAACCUUGUGGUUCGAAAUCAACAAAGCCAGGAAAUUCAAGAGAACUGCUGCU
rnacentral:lncRNA from 1 species